GGACUACAAGGGUAUCUAAUCCUGUUCGCUCCCCACGCUUUCGCGUCUCAGCGUCAGUACCGUCCCAGAGAGCCGCCUUCGCCACGGGUGUUCUUCCUGAUAUCUGCGCAUUCCACCGCUACACCAGGAAUUCCACUCUCCUCUUCCGGACUCUAGCGAGGCAGUUUCCCGCGACCGCCUGCGGUUGAGCCGCAGGAUUUCACGCGAGACUUGCCAAGCCGCCUACACGCUCUUUACGCCCAAUGAUUCCGGACAACGCUUGCCCCCUACGUAUUACCGCGGCUGCUGGCAC
rnacentral:rRNA from 1 species